rnacentral:rRNA from 1 species
AACUGACGUUGAGGCUCGAAAGCGUGGGGAGCAAACAGGAUUCGAUACCCUGGUAGUCCACGCCGUAAACGAGGAUUACUAGGUGUCGGGGGGCAAAACCAUUCGGUGCCGCAGCCAACGCAAUAAGUAGUCCACCUGGGGAGUACGUUCGCAAGAAUGAAAUUCAAAGGAAUUGACGGGGACCCGCACAAGCGGUGGAGCAUGUGGUUUAAUUCGAAGCAACGCGAAGAACCUUACCUGCUCUUGACAUCCCGCUGACCGGACGGUAAUGCGUCCUUCCCUUCGGGGCAGCGGAGACAGGUGGUGCAUGGUUGUCGUCAGCUCGUGUCGUGAGAUGUUGGGUAAGUCCCGCAACGAGCGCAACCCCUAUCUUUAGUAGCCAGCGGCCAGGCCGGGCACUCUAGAGAGACUGCCGGGGAUAACCCGGAGGAAGGUGGGGAUGACGUCAAAUCAUCAUGCCCCUUAUGAGCAGGGCUACACACGUGCUACAAUGGCGUAAACAAAGGGAAGCGAGACCGCGAGGUGGAGCAAAUCCCAAAAAUAACGUCUCAGUUCGGAUUGUAGUCUGCAACUCGACUACAUGAAGCUGGAAUCGCUAGUAAUCGCGAAUCAGAAUGUCGCGGUGAAUACGUUCCCGGGUCUUGUACU